UCAGGCCUCAUGCAAGUCGAGCGGAUGAAGGUAGCUUGCUACCGGAUUCAGCGGCGGAGGGUGAGUAAUGCCUAGGAAUCUGCCCGAUAGUGGGGGAUAACGUUCCGAAAGGAACGCUAAUACCGCAUACGUCCUACGGGAGAAAGCGGGGGAUCUUCGGACCUCGCGCUAUCGGAUGAGCCUAGGUCGGAUUAGCUAGUUGGUGAGGUAAUGGCUCACCAAGGCGACGAUCCGUAGCUGGUNUGAGAGGAUGAUCAGCCACACUGGGACUGAGACACGGCCCAGACUCCUACGGGAGGCAGCAGUGGGGAAUAUUGGACAAUGGGGGAAAGCCUGAUCCAGCCAUGCCGCGUGUGUGAAGAAGGUCUUCGGAUUGUAAAGCACUUUAAGUUGGGAGGAAGGGGUUACUUAAUACGUGACAGUNUGACGUACCAAC
rnacentral:rRNA from 1 species